AUGAGAUGAUUCGUAUCUUGAUCAGUUUUGGUCUUUAUGAGAUCUUUUUCUUCUCAUUUCAUUAAAACAUUGUUGUAGACCUAUUUUACCUAUAAUAUACACCAAAGCUCAUCAUAUCUAAUAAAACACUCUAAGUUCAAGUAGAAAUUUGUAGUUUUAAGCAUCAAAGUGUCGUGUUUCCACGCCACAUAAACACCUCCAACUUACAC
rnacentral:lncRNA from 1 species